UCCGUCGACCAGGUGUGGGCUGCAUGUC
rnacentral:piRNA from 1 species